rnacentral:rRNA from 1 species
AGAGUUUGAUCAUGGCUCAGAUUGAACGCUGGCGGCAGGCCUAACACAUGCAAGUCGAGCGGUAGAGAGAAGCUUGCUUCUCUUGAGAGCGGCGGACGGGUGAGUAAUGCCUAGGAAUCUGCCUGGUAGUGGGGGAUAACGUUCGGAAACGGACGCUAAUACCGCAUACGUCCUACGGGAGAAAGCAGGGGACCUUAGGGCCUUGCGCUAUCAGAUGAGCCUAGGUCGGAUUAGCUAGUUGGUGGGGUAAUGGCUCACCAAGGCGACGAUCCGUAACUGGUCUGAGAGGAUGAUCAGUCACACUGGAACUGAGACACGGUCCAGACUCCUACGGGAGGCAGCAGUGGGGAAUAUUGGACAAUGGGCGAAAGCCUGAUCCAGCCAUGCCGCGUGUGUGAAGAAGGUCUUCGGAUUGUAAAGCACUUUAAGUUGGGAGGAAGGGUUGUAGAUUAAUACUCUGCAAUUUUGACGUUACCGACAGAAUAAGCACCGGCUAACUCUGUGCCAGCAGCCGCGGUAAUACAGAGGGUGCAAGCGUUAAUCGGAAUUACUGGGCGUAAAGCGCGCGUAGGUGGUUUGUUAAGUUGAAUGUGAAAUCCCCGGGCUCAACCUGGGAACUGCAUCCAAAACUGGCAAGCUAGAGUAUGGUAGAGGGUAGUGGAAUUUCCUGUGUAGCGGUGAAAUGCGUAGAUAUAGGAAGGAACACCAGUGGCGAAGGCGACUACC